rnacentral:rRNA from 1 species
CCCUUAGAUGUUCUGGGCCGCACGCGCGCUACACUGAAUGGAUCAACGUGUUUUCCCUUCCCGAGAGGGACGGGUAACCCGCUGAACCCCAUUCGUGGUAGGGAUCGGAGCUUGCAAUUGUUCUCCGUGAACCAGGAAUUCCCAGUAAGCGCAAGUCAUAAGCUUGCGUUGAUUACGUCCCUGCCCUUUGUACACACCGCCCGUCGCUACUACCGAUUGAGUGAUCCGGUGAAUAAUUCGGACUGCAGCACUGCUUGGUCUCCAGGCUUUGCAGCGGAAAGUUUAGUGAACCUUAUCACUUAGAGGAAGGAGAAGUCGUAACA